rnacentral:lncRNA from 1 species
UCACGUUUUUCUCUCUAGACACCCUAACUUGCGUCUUUUAUAUCUCCACGACCCAAAGGUUUUUUCUCUCUAAUUUUUGGAUGGCUCAAAGGUCUCUCAAAUCUCUAUCUUUUCAAAAAAUUUCAUGAAGAAACUCGUUUUAUACAGAGAGAUAUGAUAGAGUCCUUGUCUAGGUCAAAUACCUAGUCAAGGCUUAUCCAAACAUGGCAAGUUAAGGGGCGCCCAACUCUUGAGCACC